GACGAACGCUGGCGGCGUGCUUAACACAUGCAAGUCGAACGGAAAGGCCCUGCUUUUGUGGGGUGCUCGAGUGGCGAACGGGUGAGUAACACGUGAGUAACCUGCCCUUGACUUUGGGAUAACUUCAGGAAACUGGGGCUAAUACCGGAUAGGAGCUCCUGCUGCAUGGUGGGGGUUGGAAAGUUUCGGCGGUUGGGGAUGGACUCGCGGCUUAUCAGCUUGUUGGUGGGGUAGUGGCUUACCAAGGCUUGGACGGGUAGCCGGCCUGAGAGGGUGACCGGCCACAUUGGGACUGAGAUACGGCGCAGACUCCUACGGGAGGCAGCAGUGGGGAAUAUUGCACAAUGGGCGGAAGCCUGAUGCAGCAACGCCGCGUGCGGGAUGACGGCCUUCGGGUUGUAAACCGCUUUCGCCUGUGACGAAGCGUGAGUGACGGUAAUGGGUAAAGAAGCACCGGCUAACUACGUG
rnacentral:rRNA from 1 species